AGAGUUUGAUCCUGGCUCAGGACGAACGCUGGCGGCGUGCCUAAUACAUGCAAGUAGAACGCUGAAGAGAGGAGCUUGCUCUUCUUGGAUGAGUUGCGAACGGGUGAGUAACGCGUAGGUAACCUGCCUUGUAGCGGGGGAUAACUAUUGGAAACGAUAGCUAAUACCGCAUAACAAUGGAUGACACAUGUCAUUUAUUUGAAAGGGGCAAUUGCUCCACUACAAGAUGGACCUGCGUUGUAUUAGCUAGUAGGUGAGGUAACGGCUCACCUAGGCGACGAUACAUAGCCGACCUGAGAGGGUGAUCGGCCACACUGGGACUGAGACACGGCCCAGACUCCUACGGGAGGCAGCAGUAGGGAAUCUUCGGCAAUGGGGGCAACCCUGACCGAGCAACGCCGCGUGAGUGAAGAAGGUUUUCGGAUCGUAAAGCUCUGUUGUAAGUCAAGAACGAGUGUGAGAGUGGAAAGUUCACACUGUGACGGUAGCUUACCAGAAAGGGACGGCUAACUACGUGCCAGCAGCCGCGGUAAUACGUAGGUCCCGAGCGUUGUCCGGAUUUAUUGGGCGUAAAGCGAGCGCAGGCGGUUUGAUAAGUCUGAAGUUAAAGGCUGUGGCUCAACCAUAGUUCGCUUUGGAAACUGUCAAACUUGAGUGCAGAAGGGGAGAGUGGAAUUCCAUGUGUAGCGGUGAAAUGCGUAGAUAUAUGGAGGAACACCAGUGGCGAAGGCGACGAUCUGGCCUGCAACUGACGCUCAGUCCCGAAAGCGUGGGGAGCAAAUAGGAUUAGAUACCCUAGUAGUCCACGCCGUAAACGAUGAGUACUAAGUGUUGGGAGUCAAAUUUCAGUGCUGCAGUUAACGCAAUAAGUACUCCGCCUGAGUAGUACGUUCGCAAGAAUGAAACUCAAAGGAAUUGACGGGGGCCCGCACAAGCGGUGGAGCAUGUGGUUUAAUUCGAAGCAACGCGAAGAACCUUA
rnacentral:rRNA from 1 species